rnacentral:misc_RNA from 1 species
CACGCAUUCAACGGACAACAGCCUGAGCUCUCUGUCUACUUUACCCGUUUCCGUGCAGGUCUUCGCCGUACCUCUCCAUGCUGCCUUGUCUCCUGGUGUAGCCGCGUCUUCUCACUGUAUCUGGCCUCACCGCGUUUGCGUUCCUUUAGGCGAUCAGGUUCCUCUUGCCCUUCUUCCACACGCACACUAGUAGCAUGGGUAAGACGCACGAUCAUGAGCCUCCGGCGACGAUGAAGCCGCUGGAGGAGCUCACCGACGCGGACACGCGCGAGAUGAGGGACUUGGGCAUCGGCGAAGGCAUGUUUAACCGCAUCCUCACCUCCUGCAUGAAGUUCGCCCUCUCCGGCGGCUGGAGUGUGCGGAAGCGUGACGCCAAGUACGACAUCGUAUGGGAGACGAAGCCCAGCCGCAACAGCAAUAAACAGGCGAUGCGGUUCACCGCCAAAGUGCCGAACUGCAACACAGGCUCUCUGGAGGCCAUCCUCGUGGACGACGAAUACCUUGAAGACGAUCCGAACGUUAGCUACAUGUACAAGUACGAUGGACUGCUGCAGCAGAACCAUGCCGAGAAGCGCAUCGCCGGCAAUGUCACGGUACAGAGCACGCACUACGGAGCGCCGGUGAUGUUCGUGGCGCCGCGGCACAUAAUCUCCUACGUCACACUCGGCGCUCUUCUCACGCCGGCGCAGCAGAAGGAGCUCGGGAUUCGGCCCACUGGGCUCCGCGACCAGCCGGCCGACGCAGAGCGCACGGACAACCUCAUGGCGUUCACCCAGUGCUGCAUCGACUACACUGGGGAUGCCGUAGAGCUAAGGAAGGGCAGCGAGCGCGGCCACGUGUACAGCUACUCGUUGCUGGGGCAGGAGGAGCCGGACGGCUCCAUGACGGUGACGAUGACGUUGGAUAUGGACCCUGCUGGUAAAUUGCCGGCGAAGGUAGUGGACAUGAGCAGCGACGAGCAGCACAAGAAGAUGCAGCGGAUCGUUGAACUGCUGAAGGCAAAAGGUCCACAGCCGCACCUGUGCAGCGUCUACCAAAACACACGCGACUUCCCCUUUCGCAACCCCUCCAAAGGAGAGGGGGAGAAGAGAAGCUGAGCAGUGAAGGCGCCGUCGUUGAGGCAGGGUGAGGGGGUGCUGGGCGUGGCACGAUGAUGGCGCUAACACGCGCUCCUUUUUUUUUUCGACGCAGGCCGCUGAAUGACAUCAAUGCCCAUGUGCACACACACACGCGCACGCACGCUCGCCUCGGCGCUCACUGUCUCUGAAGGCUUCUCUUGUUUCUCGCCUCUUUUUGUUCGUUUUUUUUGUUCGUUGCAUGUAUCUUCGCGUGUGUGCGCCUGCGUUGUUUCUCUGCACGCCACUAGACCCGCGCUCGACUGAAGACAGACUUCUCUUGGCCCGCUCCCGCUCCCCUCGCGUCAGCGCUGCUGGUUUUACUAUUCUGACACGUGUGCGCAUCUUCUCUCUUGCCAACCCCUAUCGGCUGCUGUGCCACUCGCGCUGCCGUCAGCAUUCUCAUGCGCUGCCCCAGCAGUGCGUCCAGCCCUUCCCCCUCAUCCCACCCGACACACAAACGCCCAUACUCAUGUACACGGACGCUUGCGCUAGCCAUACUGCAAUGCGCGCGCGCGGGUGGGGCGGUACGCAUAUCUGCAGCACAUGGUGCCACUUCUGCUGUCUUGUUUUGCUCUUCUCUUCAGUGAGCGGCUCACUUGCGUGUAUGUUUGUCUGUCUGUGCCUGUGCAUGUCCCUGGUGCAUAUCUGCAGCUGCACUUGUUAACAACUGUGGUUGUGUGCGCGUUACCGACCUGCCUUUAUGUUUCUCUUCCUCCUUUGUUUUCGUGAGUGGCUCCUUGCCUUCUUUGAGUUGGAGUGUCUGCGUAUAGUGGCCGACCACAGCUCCACUUCACACGUCUUUCAUGCCCCGCCCACCGCCGGUGCAGGUGCCGCCCGCUACCAAUCCUCUUCCCCACCCCCAGACACCCCUCUCAUCACCUUCGCAUCCCUCGUCUACCUGCCGACUGCUGAGCUGGGUGCCAUAACUAUACAUGAUAGCGCCCGGCCUCGUCGUGGUGGUGGCGGGGAGCUGCUGUGGGACUGCUAGGGCGACGGAGGGUCACGAGGAGGCGGGCAUACCCACAUCAAUGGACCGCGCGGAGGCCUUUUCUUUCUGCCUUGUUUGCCCUCUCUUCAACGACAUUGGGUUUCGAAGAACGUUCAAAGAGCAUCCGCGCGACUGCAUGGGCGGGAAAGACAAGGAACCAGCUCACCUCCGCACCCACGCGCCUGUCUUCAUGCGUUGUUUCUCUUGCGCGUUUGUGUCGGCUUCUCUCUCUGUAUACUCUAGUGGCGUGCCUCGGCCAUGAGGAUGCCGGCGACGAGCCCUCGCGCGCCCUCCCCUGUGCCCGCUCCUUGUGCCUCCUUCCGAGGCCGGCAGGUGAGUGCGCGUCCGUCCCUGCGAAGAGGGACCUCUUUCUUGUGUCGCGUCUGUCUGCUCAUCUGAUGCGUCGUUGUACGCUCUUCGUGGGACACCACGGUGCGACGAGAUCCGGCGGGGAGUGCGAUCGGGUUGUGCUCUCUGUCUCUCGUCCCAGUGGAGGCGGUGGCGUUGCGCUGCCUGCCGGUGCUACUUCCAGCGUCGAUUGCCGUGGACGCGGAGGCGCUGAGGCACAUCAACUUGAGGUUUGCGUAGGCGGAUUGCCAGAGGCGGGGACAGGCAACGCACGCCAGCAGACAGUGUCAAGGCCUACGCCACUC